GAUGAACGCUGGCGGCGUGCCUAAUACAUGCAAGUCGAGCGAACGGACGAGAAGCUUGCUUUUCUGAUGUUAGCGGCGGACGGGUGAGUAACACGUGGAUAACCUACCUAUAAGACUGGGAUAACUUCGGGAAACCGGAGCUAAUACCGGAUAAUAUUUUGAACCGCAUGGUUCAAAAGUGAAAGACGGUCUUGCUGUCACUUAUAGAUGGAUCCGCGCUGCAUUAGCUAGUUGGUAAGGUAACGGCUUACCAAGGCAACGAUGCAUAGCCGACCUGAGAGGGUGAUCGGCCACACUGGAACUGAGACACGGUCCAGACUCCUACGGGAGGCAGCAGUAGGGAAUCUUCCGCAAUGGGCGAAAGCCUGACGGAGCAACGCCGCGUGAGUGAUGAAGGUCUUCGGAUCGUAAAACUCUGUUAUUAGUGAAGAACAUAUGUGUAAGUAACUGUGCACAUCUUGACGGUACCUAAUCAGAAAGCCACGGCUAACUACGCG
rnacentral:rRNA from 1 species